CUACGGGAGGCACCAGUCGAGAAUCUUCCACAAUGCACGAAAGUGUGAUGGAGCGACGUCGUGUGCGAGAUGAAGGCCUUCGGGUCGUAAAUCGUUUUUAUAAGGGAAGAAUUUAGAUGACAUUACCUUAUGAAUAAGGGGUUGCUAAUUGCGUGCCAGCAGCAGCGGUAAUACGCAAACCCCAAGCGUUAUCCGGAUUUAUUGGGCGUAAAGGGUGGGUAGGCGGAUAUAGCAGUCAGUCGUUAAAUCACUGGGCUCAACCCAGUAAUCGCGAUUGAAACACUAUGUCUAGAGAUAAGUAGAGGUCAACGGAACUCAUGGUGUAGCAGUGAAAUGCGUUGAUAUCAUGGGGAACACCAAAGGCGAAGGCAGUUGACUGGGCUUUAUCUGACGCUGAGCCACGAAAGCGUGGGGAGUGAAGGGGAUUAGAUACCCUGGUAGUC
rnacentral:rRNA from 1 species